rnacentral:rRNA from 1 species
GAUGAACGCUGGCGGCGUGCCUAAUACAUGCAAGUCGAGCGAAUGGAUAAGAGCUUGCUCUUAUGAAGUUAGCGGCGGACGGGUGAGUAACACGUGGGUAACCUGCCCAUAAGACUGGGAUAACUCCGGGAAACCGGGGCUAAUACCGGAUAACAUCUUGAACCGCAUGGUUCGAAAUUGAAAGGCGGCUUCGGCUGUCACUUAUGGAUGGACCCGCGUCGCAUUAGCUAGUUGGUGAGGUAACGGCUCACCAAGGCAACGAUGCGUAGCCGACCUGAGAGGGUGAUCGGCCACACUGGGACUGAGACACGGCCCAGACUCCUACGGGAGGCAGCAGUAGGGAAUCUUCCGCAAUGGACGAAAGUCUGACGGAGCAACGCCGCGUGAGUGAUGAAGGCUUUCGGGUCGUAAAACUCUGUUGUUAGGGAAGAACAAGUGCUAGUUGAAUAAGCUGGCACCUUGGCGGUACCUAACAGAAAGCCACGGCUAACUACGUGCCAGCCGCCGCGGUAA